GCUGGGUGUGGUGGUGCACUCCUACAAUCCCAGCAAUUUGGGAGGCUGAGGCAGAAGGAUCACAAAUUUGAGGCCAGGCUGGGCAACACAGUGAGACCCUGUCUCUA
rnacentral:sRNA from 1 species